UACAGAGGUCUCAAGCGUUGUUCGGAUUCAUUGGGCGUAAAGGGUGCGUAGGCGGCGCGGUAAGUCGGGUGUGAAAUCUCGGAGCUUAACUCCGAAACUGCAUUCGAUACUGCCGUGCUUGAGGACUGGAGAGGAGACUGGAAUUUACGGUGUAGCGGUGAAAUGCGUAGAUAUCGUAAGGAACACCCGUGGCGAAGGCGGCUCUCUGGGACGGUACUGACGCUGAGACGCGAAAGCGUGGGGAGCGAACAGG
rnacentral:rRNA from 1 species